GACUCUCGGAAAUGGAUAUCUUGGCUCUCGCAUCGAUGAAGAACGUAGCGAAAUGCGAUUCUUGGUGUGAAUUGCAGAAUCCCGUGAACCAUCGAGUCUUGGAAUGCAAGUUGCGACCGAGACCACCAGGCCAAGGGCACGCCCGCCAGGUCGUCA